CCUACGGGUGACAGCAGUAGGGAAUAUUGCUCAAUGGGGGAAACCCUGAAGCAGCAACGCCGCGUGGAGGAUGAAGGUUUUAGGAUUGUAAACUCCUUUUGUGAGAGAAGAUAAUGACGGUAUCUCACGAAUAAGCACCGGCUAACUCCGUGCCAGCAGCCGCGGUAAUACGGAGGGUGCAAGCGUUACUCGGAAUCACUGGGCGUAAAAGGUGCGCAGGCGGGCUUGUAAGGAAGAUGUGAAAUCCUGUAGCUUAACAACAGAACUGCAUUUGAAACUAUGAGUCUAGAGUGUGGGAGAGGUAGGUGGAAUUAUGGGGGUAGGGGUAAAUGCCAGAGAUAUCAAGAGGAAUACUCAUUGCGAAGGCGACCUACUGGAACAUUACUGACGCUCAUGCACGAAAGCGUGGGGAGCAAACAGGAUUAGAUACCCUUGUAGUC
rnacentral:rRNA from 1 species